CGGAUGCCGAGCUCACUGUUUAUCGAACUGUGUUCAUAGGUGUAUCGCCUAGUUCAGCACCGUACUUAGUGACUAUUUUGAUAGCGUUUUUACAAAGCGUAGCGUUUUUUAUAAAAACUUUUGUGUGUUUGUUUUGUGAUUUUGAUUAAAAUGGCUACCGAAUCGCGGGGAAUGAGUCAUUGUGCGGCUGUUUUAUGUAAGAACAAUUCAAAUAAUUGUGAUUUGAGUUUUUUUUAGAUUUCCGAGAGAAUCAGAAAGGGCAAGAAUUUGGGCAAUUGCUUCUAGCAGAGAAGAUUUGAUAACAAAGAAGAACCUCCAUACUCUUAUAAAAUUUGUGGGAGGCAUUUUGAAAACAAGAUGUUUCUAAACGAUUUACACAACAGACUACAAAAAAAUGCAGUGCCCACUUUAUUCGCAGCGCUAGAAGGCUCAUCUUCAGAUUCAACCAGAAAAAUAUGCCAAGAUUUAGAUGAAGCUUUUCCGCAUUCAUCCGAUGUGACCUCUGUUAUAACUUUUUCUCCAACGCUAGAAGACACAUCUUCGCAUUCAACGAAAGAACUAUGUCAAGAAACUUUACCACAGUCAUCCGAUGUAGCUUCUGUAGGUACUUUGUUUCCUGCACUAGAAAGCACAUCUUAGCAUUUAACCAAAGAAUUAUGCCAAGAUUUAGUUAAAACCUUCCCACAUUUAUCUGAUGUGGCUUCUGUUAGUAGAUCUUGCCUCGUUACUGCGCAAUCCCACCAAACUCAAUUCAAGAGACAAAAAAGUUUUAUUUGUAUAAUCCACAGAACAUAAUAAAAAUUGCACAAAAGUCAGUGGCGUAUAUUUUAGUUGUUGUUAAAUUUUAACACCCUGUAUAUUGAGAACGAAGAAUUUCUGGACAUAUGUUUUUAUGAACUUUUUGUUUUAAAAUUACUCAAAAAAUGGUCUCUUAAAUUUAUGGUACAUACCUAAUUAACUUCCUGCACGUAUUCUUCUAUAUUGCGUUGUUAGAUGUAGAAAUCCGAUGUUUAUUUUCUUUAAAUAUUUUGUUAAUGUAUGAACUUUAUUAAUAUUAAAAAAUAAAUAUUUGUACUAUG